rnacentral:rRNA from 1 species
CCCUGGCUCAGGACGAACGCUGGCGGCAUGCCUAAUACAUGCAAGUCGAGCGGAGUUCUGUUGAAAGCUUGCUUUCAACAGGAUUUAGCGGCGGACGGGUGAGUAACACGUAGGCAACCUGCCCCAUAGCCUGGGAUAACUACCGGAAACGGUAGCUAAUACCGGAUAAUUCCUUUUCCCACCUGGGAAGAGGAUGAAAGACGGAGCAAUCUGUCGCUGAGGGAUGGGCCUGCGGCGCAUUAGCUAGUUGGUGGGGUAACGGCUCACCAAGGCGACGAUGCGUAGCCGACCUGAGAGGGUGAACGGCCACACUGGGACUGAGACACGGCCCAGACUCCUACGGGAGGCAGCAGUAGGGAAUCUUCCGCAAUGGGCGCAAGCCUGACGGAGCAAUGCCGCGUGAGUGAUGAAGGUUUUCGGAUCGUAAAGCUCUGUUGCCAGGGAAGAACGUCUUAUAGAGUAACUGCUAUAAGAGUGACGGUACCUGAGAAGAAAGCCCCGGCUAACUA